GUGUCAGCCGCCGCGGUAAUACGGAGGGUGCAAGCGUUAAUCGGAAUUACUGGGCGUAAAGCGCGCGUAGGUGGCUUGAUAAGCCGGUUGUGAAAGCCCCGGGCUCAACCUGGGAACGGCAUCCGGAACUGUCAAGCUAGAGUGCAGGAGAGGAAGGUAGAAUUCCCGGUGUAGCGGUGAAAUGCGUAGAGAUCGGGAGGAAUACCAGUGGCGAAGGCGGCCUUCUGGACUGACACUGACACUGAGGUGCGAAAGCGUGGGUAGCAAACAGGAUUAGAUACCCCGGUAGUCC
rnacentral:rRNA from 1 species